rnacentral:rRNA from 1 species
CAGCAGCCGCGGGAAAACGGAGGGGGCUAGCGUGGUUCGGAAUUACUGGGCGCAAAGCGCACGUAGGCGGCUUGGUAAGUUAGAGGUGAAAGCCCGGAGCUCAACUCCGGAAUUGCCUUUAAGACUGCCGAGCUAGUAGGUGAGAGAGGUAAGUGGAAUUCCGAGUGUAGAGGUGAAAUUCGUAGAUAUUCGGAAGAACACCAGUGGCGAAGGCGGCUUACUGGCUCAUACUGGACGCUGAGGUGCGAAAGCGUGGGGAGCAAACAGGAUUAGAUACCCGAGUAGUCCCUGUCUCUUAUAC